rnacentral:tRNA from 1 species
GGGGAUGUAGCUCAGAUGGGAGAGCGAUGCGUUCGCAACGCAUAGGUCGAGGGUUCGAAUCCCUUCAUCUCCACCA